UUCAGUCUUUGAAAUAUGUCUAGCUAAACUGCAGAAUUCGGUUCCAUGAUUAAUGAACUAAAUUAGGUUUUAUUUCUUAAAUGUGUUGAGGAUUCAUCCUGUGGUCUUCCCCCAGUCUUGAGGAUUAGAGCAGCUGGAAGGCACAUCUGGUUACAGGCAGGCAGCUCUCUGGGUGAUCUUUCUCCCCUCCUUUAGAAGGAGGAGGUGUGGGGAACUGCGGAAACUUUUAUUGGGUACCGAGUCUGCCACUACAACCAUCACUCUACAAAGUAGAAAGGAACAUAUAAAUCUUCCAGCAUUUGAUAAAAGGAACUGUGAGACCCAAGAUGCUACAGUAAAAGAAACAUUUCAGGCUCCACUCCGUGCCCGCUCGGUGAACAUUCUCUCUACCAAUCCUACCAAAAGUUAACCCUGUGGAAAAAUCUUCUCUAAGCAUGGUGUGGAGUAUCACUUAUAUACGAGGCAGAGUUUGCCAAUUUCAGAAAAUAUGAGCUCAUGUCUAGGGAAGCUUCUCAACUAGAACAUCAGAAAAGAAAAAGAAACCACUUAUUCUAAAGUCUCGGGGCUGGAGAGGCCUCACUGGAUGCUGAGAAAGCUGAGAAGAGGCAGGACUGUGAUGACGAAGGCUUACAUAACCCUCCAGAGACCUUUGUUUGCUGUUUGCAUGUUUAUUAGUUCAACUUUGCUGAGGAGAACAAGCAGGAUAGGUGUUUGUGUGUUUUCUUGUUUUAAAAGAAACAGGAUAUUUGGAAAUGUACUUAUAAACUCUUUUACUGAUUAAAGAACAAUCAGUCAUCAAAGAUGUUAAUGCCAUAUAAUCAAAUAUUGCAUAAACAAAACUGAAAAGAAAACACUUCGCUGUCAAAAUAUUAACUGUAUUUACCUCAGGGUAGUAAAAUAAUGGUAACUUUACUUUUUCUGUUUUAAAUGUUCAUGUAAAUAAAUUUAGUUUUCUAAAAUGUG